UACGUAGGUGGCAAGCGUUGUCCGGAUUUACUGGGCGUAAAGAGCGCGCAGGCGGUCGUUCAAGUCGAGUGUGAAAGCCCCCGGCUCAACUGGGGAGGGUCAUUCGAUACUGAUCGACUCGAAGGCAGGAGAGGGAAGUGGAAUUCCCGGUGUAGUGGUGAAAUGCGUAGAUAUCGGGAGGAACACCAGUGGCGAAGGCGGGUCUCUGGGCCGAUACUGACGCUGAGGAGCGAAAG
rnacentral:rRNA from 1 species